UUGAACGCUGGCGGCAUGCUUUACACAUGCAAGUCGAACGGUAGCAGGCCUUCGGGUGCUGACGAGUGGCGAACGGGUGAGUAAUGCAUCGGAACGUGCCCAAUCGUGGGGGAUAACGUAGCGAAAGUUACGCUAAUACCGCAUACGCCCUGAGGGGGAAAGUGGGGGACCGCAAGGCCUCACGCGAAUGGAGCGGCCGAUGUCAGAUUAGCUAGUUGGUGGGGUAAAGGCCCACCAAGGCGACGAUCUGUAGCGGGUCUGAGAGGAUGAUCCGCCACACUGGGACUGAGACACGGCCCAGACUCCUACGGGAGGCAGCAGUGGGGAAUUUUGGACAAUGGGCGCAAGCCUGAUCCAGCCAUGCCGCGUGCGGGACGAAGGCCUUCGGGUUGUAAAGCUCUUUCAGACGGAAAGAAAUCGGGCGCGUGAAUAGCGUGCCUGGAUGACGGUACUGUCAGAAGAAGCACCGGCUAACUACGU
rnacentral:rRNA from 1 species